rnacentral:lncRNA from 1 species
AUGCAUCAGCACGGCAGUUGAAUUCAUAAACAGUUUCCAUUCCCGCGAAUCUCCUGAAGUGUGCGGCAUGUUGACCUUGCUCAACGACACUAAUGAACAAUGCAUCGGCACGAUGUCAUGCUUUGCCACUAAAGUCAUCCGAGAAGACACCUCACUCCCAAACCUAUCCCCCUGCUACUAUAAAAAUUUAAUACGCUACCGUCGCAGCAAAAUAGCAACAAACUCACCUCGGACACGGCUUCUUCACCUUGCCGGCCACGCAUUCUGUCGAUUCUGUGCUGCCAGCUCGGAUAGGGACGAAUGGAGCUAACAACUUUCUUCCCCGUAGUACCUAGGCGAAGAGAAAUCUCAAGGACCGAAAGUCCCCACAUUUCUCUCUCGCACACACUGCUCCUCGCGCAUGCGCAGAAAGAGCGGAGAAAUCCAAUUAUGAUGUGCUCGUG